rnacentral:rRNA from 1 species
CGCCUUGCCAGCCCGCUCAGAACUUAAAUGAAUGGACGGGGGCCCGGCACAAGCGGUGGAGUAUGUGGUUUAAUUCGAUGCAACGCGAAGAACCUUACCUGGUCUUGACAUCCCGGAGACCCUUAGGAAACUAGGGGGUGCUUCCAUCUGGAAGAAUCUGGAGACAGGUGCUGCAUGGCUGUCGUCAGCUCGUGUCGUGAGAUGUUGGGUUAAGUCCCGCAACGAGCGCAACCCUUGCCUUUAGUUGCCAGCAGUUCGGCUGGGCACUCUAAAGGGACUGCCGGUGUUAAACCGGAGGAAGGUGGGGAUGACGUCAAGUCCUCAUGGCCUUUAUGACCAGGGCUACACACGUACUACAAUGGCCGAUACAAAGGGCAGCGACACUGCGAGGUGAAGCCAAUCCCGUAAAAUCGGUCUCAGUCCGGAUUGGAGUCUGCAACUCGACUCCAUGAAGUUGGAAUCGCUAGUAAUCGUGGAUCAGCAUGCCACGGUGAAUACGUUCCCGGGCCUU